rnacentral:rRNA from 1 species
GACAGAGGUCCCGAGCGUUUGUUCGGAUUCAUUGGGCGUAAAGGGUGUGUAGGAGGUCGGGUAAGUCAGGUGUGAAAUCUCAGAGCUUAACUCUGAAACUGCGCUUGAUACUGCCCGGCUAGAGGAUCGGAGGGGGUAACGGAAUUCGAUGGUGUAGCAGUGAAAUGCGUAGAUAUCAUGAGGAACACCGGUGGCGAAGGCGGUUACCUGGAAGAUUCCUGACUCUGAAACACGAAAGCCAGGGGAGCAAACGGG